CCCUUCGGGGUGUGACUGCGUACCUUUUGUAUAAUGGGUCAGCGACUUAUAUUCUGUAGCAAGGUUAACCGUAUAGGGGAGCCGGAGGGAAACCGAGUCUUAACCGGGCGUUAAGUUGCAGGGUAUAGACCCGAAACCCGGUGAUCUAGCCAUGGGCAGGUUGAAGGUUGGGUAACACUAACUGGAGGACCGAACCGACUAAUGUUGAAAAAUUAGCGGAUGACCUGUGGCUGGGGGUGAAAGGCCAAUCAAACCGGGAGAUAGCUGGUUCUCCCCGAAAGCUAUUUAGGUAGCGCCUCGUGAAUUCAUCUCCGGGGGUAGAGCACUGUUUCGGCUAGGGGGCCAUCCCGGCUUACCAACCCGAUGCAAACUGCGAAUACCGGAGAAUGUUAUCACGGGAGACACACGGCGGGUGCUAACGUCCGUCGUGAAGAGGGAAACAACCCAGACCGCCAGCUAAGGUCCCAAAGUCAUGGUUAAGUGGGAAACGAUGUGGGAAGGCCCAGACAGCCAGGAUGUUGGCUUAGAAGCAGCCAUCAUUUAAAGAAAGCGUAAUAGCUCACUGGUCGAGUCGGCCUGCGCGGAAGAUGUAACGGGGCUAAACCAUGCACCGAAGCUGCGGCAGCGAACGUAUCACCCAAGACAACUUUACGGAGUUGACGAUUGACGGAGCGAAGCGACGUCAAAGCGUUCAUUAAAGUCGAGUUGGCUUAGGGAUACGUUCGUUGGGUAGGGGAGCGUUCUGUAAGCCUGUGAAGGUGUGUCGUGAGGCAUGCUGGAGGUAUCAGAAGUGCGAAUGCUGACAUAAGUAACGAUAAAGCGGGUGAAAAGCCCGCUCGCCGGAAGACCAAGGGUUCCUGUCCAACGUUAAUCGGGGCAGGGUGAGUCGACCCCUAAGGCGAGGCCGAAAGGCGUAGUCGAUGGGAAACGGGUUAAUAUUCCCGUACUUGGUGUUACUGCGAAGGGGGGACGGAGAAGGCUAUGUUGGCCGGGCGACGGUUGUCCCGGUUUAAGCGUGUAGGUGUGUGUUCCAGGUAAAUCCGGUUCACUUUAACACUGAGGCGUGACGACGAGGCACUACGGUGCUGAAGCAACAAAUGCCCUGCUUCCAGGAAAAGCCUCUAAGCAUCAGGUAACAC
rnacentral:rRNA from 1 species